rnacentral:rRNA from 1 species
GCUUAACACAUGCAAGUCGAGCGGUAAGGCCCUUCGGGGUACACGAGCGGCGAACGGGUGAGUAACACGUGGGUAAUCUGCCUCAUACUCUGGGAUAAGCCUGGGAAACUGGGUCUAAUACCGGAUAGGACCAUUGCACGCAUGUGUGGUGGUGGAAAGUUCCGGCGGUAUGGGAUGAGCCCGCGGCCUAUCAGCUUGUUGGUGGGGUAGUGGCCUACCAAGGCGACGACGGGUAGCCGGCCUGAGAGGGUGACCGGCCACACUGGGACUGAGACACGGCCCAGACUCCUACGGGAGGCAGCAGUGGGGAAUAUUGCACAAUGGGCGAAAGCCUGAUGCAGCGACGCCGCGUGAGGGAUGACGGCCUUCGGGUUGUAAACCUCUUUCGCCAGGGACGAAGCGCAAGUGACGGUACCGGAGAAGA